rnacentral:rRNA from 1 species
GAUGAACGCUGGCGGCGUGCUUAACACAUGCAAGUCGAACGAUGAAGCCCAGCUUGCUGGGUGGAUUAGUGGCGAACGGGUGAGUAACACGUGAGUAACCUGCCCUUAACUCUGGGAUAAGCCUGGGAAACUGGGUCUAAUACCGGAUAGGAGCGUCCACCGCAUGGUGGGUGUUGGAAAGAUUUAUCGGUUUUGGAUGGACUCGCGGCCUAUCAGCUUGUUGGUGAGGUAAUGGCUCACCAAGGCGCCGACGGGUAGCCGGCCUGAGAGGGUGACCGGCCACACUGGGACUGAGACACGGCCCAGACUCCUACGGGAGGCAGCAGUGGGGAAUAUUGCACAAUGGGCGCAAGCCUGAUGCAGCGACGCCGCGUGAGGGAUGACGGCCUUCGGGUUGUAAACCUCUUUCAGUAGGGAAGAAGCGAAAGUGACGGUACCUGCAGAAGAAGCACCGGCUAACUACGUG